rnacentral:lncRNA from 1 species
UCUUCUUUUCCUCUUCUUCUUCUUCUUCUUCUUCUUCUUCUUCUUCUUCUUCUUCUUCUUCUCCUCCUCCUCCUCCUCCUCCUACUCCUCUUCUUCUCCUCCUCUUCUUGUCCUCCUCCUCCUCCUCUUCUCCUCUUCUCCUCCUCCACCUAACUAACCAAGCUAACUAACUAACCUAACUAAAACUACUAACCUAACUAAAUCUACCACUAAAACUACUAACAAUAACAACUACUAAAACUACUAAAAUAAU